rnacentral:lncRNA from 1 species
ACUAGUACAAAUAUGACAUAUUACACAAGUAGUUUACAUCUGACGAGCAUAUGUCAGAUGUAAAAGGCUAUAUAGAGUAACGUUUACAUCUGGUACUAAUAUCCACUGAAGGGAAAAAUAUAUAGACAUAACUUGUUACAUCUGGUUCUAAUAUCACCAGAAACAAAACUGAACACGGUGGCAAUAUUGUAAUUAUGGCGAAAACACAGUACACCAAAUAAG